CCAAAAUAUGCUCAUGAAAUCGAAAUUAAUAGCUAAAUUUUCAAACUAGACCCUUCUCGAAGCGGUUUUCAAGAAGGAAGUUCACAUUUCGGCCUUUGAUUCUUGGCAAAAAUUUGACAACAACGCGUGCGAAGCAACUGGGUCUCAAAGAUUCAGCUAAAACAUUGUGAGCCCCUAUUUUCCUGACGAUCUGUUUGAUACUUACAAA